CUGGGCUGCUCUCCUCCUCUCUGUCAGAUUGCGCUCUGCAUCACACCAUUUCACAUGAUGACCGACUCUGCUUACGAGCACCGAAACCUUCAGCUCUGGCUAUUUGCCUCCAACAUGCCUUUUUCUGCUUUCUUUUUUUUUCGUUUAUCUUGAAGAAAUUUGAGUGAUGCUGCACUGUAAGCGGAAAUGAUUUGCGUCGCAUCCUACAGCAUCAAGGUGCGCAAAAGCGAGCGGAACAUUUGAUGGGUUUGGAAGGACGCUCUUCUGCACCGACUGCCUUGUGGACAUUUCCCAAAACUGGAUUUAUGGACACUUAUUAUCUCGGGGGAUAAAAACCUAUUAUUUAUAUCCUGCUUCGCAAGGUGUAUUUGUACUGAAUGGACGUCACUGAAUGGAUCGCCUAAUUAAAAUCCUAUUUGCGGGGAAUUUUCCUUUCUGUGCAUGGUGCAAGGUUGGCUUUGACAAAUGGUGCCCUCCACUUUUUUUCCCAAUAUUUAGUUUACCCCCUCCUGAUGCAGGUGCUUUCAACUGUCUCCACCUUCUAACAUAUACCCCGCCCGACCCCCCACAAGAGGCUGCGGUGUCUCUGGUUUAGUCCCACAGUUUCCCCCUUCUCUCUUACCUCUGCUGCAUUUUGCAUGAGCUAUCUAGGUCAUUAGCAUUUUAGCGUAUACAAGACUUGACAAAGCUGGUGAGGAGCCAGAUGGGCCCUCUACUAUUUUUUUUUUUUUAUAUCUCAUGGGAGUUGAGCAAGGGACCAACUGCAGCAAGCCACUGAGCGCUUUCUUUUUAUUGCCAUCACUCGGGCCUUAUGUUGCACCAACACAUGAUGGAGAGAUGCGCACCGUCCUGUGGAAAUUACGCAUUCGAAAAAAUAGAUCUGUGUGGGGACACGAUGUCUUCAGGAGAAGAUGAUGAAGAAGAAGAAUAUGGAUAGAAAAGUUGUGAGGCCUACGUUGACAACCAAAUUAAACUUAAAUUUCUGAACGUUCAG